GUGGGGAAGCCUGUAAUGCUUGUCAGGCAGUGGGCAGUAGAGAUUUAUGACAGAAACUGAGUUCUCUUUUAGAACGAUCACUCUAAAUGCUGUGCAGAAAAACAGAUCCAAUCAAAGCAAGGAUGAAAGCUGCAGGUCACUGGGGAUGUCUUGCCCAGAGGCUUGGUGAGAGAUUCUAGAAACCUGGACUCCAGCAGCAGCAGUAGAGACGCAGAGAACUUGAGAUAUAUUCCAGAGGCGGCAAGAACAGGACUUACUAUAGAUUUCCCAGAACCAGUGAAAACAGACUUUCCUAACCUGGGGAUGUGGAUGGAUGCCAGGGCUUUUAGUAACCUCCUGAAACUGUGCAAAAUGGUGUGUCCACAUGCGUUGUUCUCCUGUGGUCUUUACCUUGCAAAGCAUUCCUGGUGCCCUGACCUCGACUAAGGCUUGUGGCACGUGGAUCGGAUAUUGGCCCCAAUCUCUCUCAUUAUCAGCAUCACUAACACCACCACCAUCCUUGGCAUCGUUGCUCAAAAGAAAGGAGGAAUUGCUUGAAUCUCCACAAAUGUUGCUAAAAAAGGUGUAUCCGAUUUCUCAUUGAUGACUAAAUGUUCCUCCAGGUAGACUGCAACCUCAAAUACUAGGGUACAGAGAGAUCGCAUGGUCAUUAAUGUUUCUAUGUGGAAAAAAACACCAGCCUCUCCCUGAAAAGAUACUCUUAAGUCAGAAUCUCUAUGGGUAAGUCAGCUUACCCUAUGAAAUGGGGAAAAAAAUCAAAUUGAGAGCAACUAGUAUUAUGGAUUUUCACUGUUUCUGAUAUCCUUAUAUUCAUAAUAGUUUACCUGAUACACAUCAGUGCCUACAGCGCAGUGUUGUGCAAUGGAACUUUGACAACAAUGGGAAUGUUCUGUAUUGUAGGCUAUCCAAUAUAGUAGCAACAAGUGCCGUGUGGCUACUAAGCACUUGAAAUGUGACAUG